AUUGAACGCUGGCGGCAUGCCUAACACAUGCAAGUCGAACGAGUGGCGGACGGGUGAGUAAUGUCUGGGAACCUGCCCGAUGGCGGGGGAUACCUACUGGAAACGGUAGCUAAUACCGCAUACCCUCGGAUGUGCCCCGAUGGGAUUAGCUAGUAGGUGGGGUAACGGCUCACCUAGGCGACGAUCCCUAGCUGGUCUGAGAGGAUGACCAGCCACACGGGAACUGAGACACGGUCCAGACUCCUACGGGAGGCAGCAGUGGGGAAUAUUGGACAAUGGGGGCAAGCCUGAUGCAGCCAUGCCGCGUGUAUGAAGAAGGCCUUCGGGUUGUAAAGUACUUUCAGCGAGGAGGCGUUACUCGCAGAAGAAGCACCGGCUAACUCCGUGCCAGCAGCCGCGGUAAUAC
rnacentral:rRNA from 1 species